rnacentral:lncRNA from 1 species
AACCAUGACCUACUCUUUUUUAGGCUAUCAGAUUUUUUUGCUUACUUUUUGUAUAAAGUGUAUGGGUUACAAAUUUCAGACUCCAGUGUAAAUGUUUUUUUCUUUCUUCAGCUAGGGAAAGAGUUGAGAGAGGGAGAGAGAGGGAGAGAGAGAGAAUGUUUGGACUAUACGUGUUUUGAUUUUUGACGUACCGCACGCUUGCACUAAAUCCAAGCUAAGUCAAUUUAUGCUUCGUUACAAAAAAUGGCCAGU